rnacentral:lncRNA from 1 species
GCUCAUCUCCCUCACCAUUUUUGCGCCACUAGCCCACCACCGACACUGCCAUCAGCACACUGCCAGCGCCACCACCUCCUCCUUUCUUCUUCUUCUUCUUCUUUCUUUCUCUUUCUUUUUCCCUGCGCCUGCGACUCCGUUGCUGGCAGAAGCAGAUCGCGCCUCCACCAGCUCGAGCGGAGCCAUAGCGCCACUGACGCUCCUCACCGCCGCUCGCCGCUCUUCACAGCCCCCCGCCAGCGAGCUGACAGGAGCAGCGUCUCAGCUCAGUUGCAGCUCUAGCGCGUCUCCGACCACCAGGAGCAUAUCUGUCGCGCCUGCAGUUGCGCCGCCAACUGCUCCGCCACCAGGUCGCGCCAACACUGCAAGUCAACCCCUCCUGCGUCGAUCUCAGGUGGUCCAAUCGCUCCCAGCACGCGUAGUUUCAAUCCGGUACGCGUAAAAUCCCGAUUCUGCAAGAAAACUGUAUUUUGGGGUAUAAAUUAAUUUUAAUAAUUUUAGUUAAUUAAUUUAAUUUUAGUAAAUUUAGUUAAUUAAAUUAAUUUUAAUAGUCUUGAUUAGUUAAUUUAAUUUAGUAAUUUGGGUUAGUUAAAUUUAUUUAAUUUAGUGUUGAUUUAUUGAUUAAUUAAAAUCAGUUGAUUGAUUAAAAUGAAAUUCUAGUAAUAAAUAAAAUUAUUGGGAAAUUAUGAUUUAUGAAAUAAAAAAAAAUUUAAUGAGCUAAUGUUGAUAUUGUUGUUAUGGAAGGAGGAUGAGAUUUUAAACUGAUUGAUUGCCCGAUGGAUGGGCUGUGUGCAUUGAUUGAUAAAGAUAUAUAUAAUAUUGCGAUAUUUUAGCAGGUUGAUAGUCCCGUUUUUAAGGGAGGUACUGCCGAAAUUUAGAUAGAACUUAGAUAAAUUUUAAUCAAUAACAUAAUAAAUAAGCUUAUUUAGAUAACUUCUAUAAUAUGAUACAUAAUAAAUAAAGUACCUUAAUUACUUUAUCAUUAUUAUUAUUAUUCAAUUAUUUAUUUAUUUUCAUUAUCAUCAUUGUUUAUUAUUAUUAUUAUUAUUAUUAUUUAUUUUAUUGUUGUUGUUUAUUGUUAAUAUUAUUUAUUUAAUUAUUUAAUUGCAUUUGAGAAUGGAUGUUUAAUUGUGCAUUGCAUUACGAUGUUUGACUGAUCAUUAUGUCUGCAUUUAAUUGCAAUGUUUGAUUAAUUGUGUUGUGAUAUUGCUGUGCUUUGUUUGUGUGGAAUUGGGAUGAAGUGGGUCACCGUGGGUUUGUGAGGACGGUCGAUAAAUAUGGAUCCUGAUGAAAUUAUGAAAUUGGACAGUCGGCCGGGUAAAUGGGAGAUCGACGCCCCCGUGUGCACCUGAUGAACUGAUGAAAUGAUGAUGAUAUGGAAAAGAUAAGAGAGAAUGGAAAAUAAAAUAUUGAGAGGACUGGUCAAGUGAGGAUUAGACCGGUCGGCCAGAUAUGNN